rnacentral:rRNA from 1 species
UACAGAGGGUGCGAGCGUUGUCCGGAAUCACUGGGCGUAAAGGGCGCGUAGGUGGCUGGAUAAGUGUGUGGUGAAAGCUCGGGGCUCAACCCCGAGUCUGCCAUGCAGACUGUCUUGCUUGAGCGUAGUAGAGGCAGGUGGAAUUCCGGGUGUAGCGGUGGAAUGCGUAGAGAUCCGGAAGAACACCGGUGGCGAAGGCGGCCUGCUGGGCUACUGCUGACACUGAGGCGCGAAAGCGUGGGGAGCAAACAGG